rnacentral:rRNA from 1 species
GAUGAACGCUGGCGGCGCGCCUAACACAUGCAAGUCGAACGGCACCCCUCUCCGGAGGGAAGCGAGUGGCGAACGGCUGAGUAACACGUGGGGAACCUGCCCCCUCCCCCGGGAUAGCCGCCCGAAAGGACGGGUAAUACCGGAUACCCCGGGGUGCCGCAUGGCACCCCGGCUAAAGCCACGGCGGGAGGGGAUGGCUCCGCGGCCCAUCAGGUAGACGGCGGGGUGACGGCCCACCGUGCCGACAACGGGUAGCCGGGUUGAGAGACCGCCCGGCCAGAUUGGGACUGAGACACGGCCCAGACUCCUACGGGAGGCAGCAGUGGGGAAUCUUGCGCAAUGGGGGGAACCCUGACGCAGCGACGCCGCGUGCGGGACGGAGGCCUUCGGGUCGUAAACCGCUUUCAGCAGGGAAGAGUCAAGACUGUACCUGCAGAAGAAGCCCCGGCUAACUACGUGCCAGCAGCCGCCGUAA